rnacentral:rRNA from 1 species
UACGAAGGGGGCUAGCGUUGUUCGGAUUUACUGGGCGUAAAGCGCACGUAGGCGGAUUGUUAAGUGAGAGGUGAAAUCCUGGAGCUCAACUCCAGAACUGCCUUUCAUACUGGCAAUCUAGAGUCCGGAAGAGGUAAGUGGAACUCCUAGUGUAGAGGUGGAAUUCGUAGAUAUUAGGAAGAACACCAGUGGCGAAGGCGGCUUACUGGUCCGGUACUGACGCUGAGGUGCGAAAGCGUGGGGAGCAAACAGG